AGUGAACGCUGGCGGUAGGCCUAACACAUGCAAGUCGAACGGCAGCACAGGAGAGCCUGCUCUCUGGGUGGCGAGUGGCGGACGGGUGAGGAAUACAUCGGAAUCUACUCUGUCGUGGGGGAUAACGUAGGGAAACUUACGCUAAUACCGCAUACGACCUACGGGUGAAAGCAGGGGACCUUCGGGCCUUGCGCGAUUGAAUGAGCUGAUGUCGGAUUAGCUAGUUGGCGGGGUAAAGGCCCACCAAGGCGACGAUCCGUAGCUGGUCUGAGAGGAUGAUCAGCCACACUGGAACUGAGACACGGUCCAGACUCCUACGGGGGGCAGCAGUGGGGAAUAUUGGACAAUGGGCGCAAGCCUGAUCCAGCCAUACCGCGUGGGUGAAGAAGGCCUUCGGGUUGUAAAGCCCUUUUGUUGGGAAAGAAAUCCAGCUGGCUAAUACCCGGUUGGGAUGACGGUACCCAAAGAAUAAGCACCGGCUAACUUCGUGCCAGCCGCCGCCGUAA
rnacentral:rRNA from 1 species